rnacentral:misc_RNA from 1 species
AGCUUUCCUCAUCGUCCACGGUUCUCCCAUAAGGUCCAACGUCCGUGGCCACCAAGCAACUCUCUUCUAACAUUCCAGCUUGGAGCGGUUGUACAUUAAUGAAAACCAACGGAAGAGAAGGGUAUUGCGGUACACAAUGUCCAACCACCUUCGGAAUCGGAAAUCACAUAGAAAAAUAGAGAAAAAAAUAAAAGUAUCUGCAUCAGACACGGGGCAUAUUCCUCUGUUG